AGCAGCGUCCGCAGCUGGGACACUCCCAGACGCCCCCGUCUCCGGACGCACCAGCGGCCUGCAGAGAUGUCCGAACGGCAGAACGGGGGCUCCAGCUGGAGCCGGGGUCAGAAAAUGCCCCUUGCGCGCGGCGGCCUCGGCCCAACACUCGAAAUGGGUCACCAAGUCAACAGUACUUUCGGAGUAGGACGGAGCCGAGUUGCAUUCUUCGUGGCCGGCCGCCCGCGCUGGCAGAGCCCACGCAGAGUGAAGUGUGUCACUGGUAGUACCUGAGGUGAUUUAAAUGGUACAAGGAGCCGGCACUAAAAGACCAGCUUAGAAGAGAGUGGUAACAGCUAGGUGAGAGUUCUGGAGGUCAGAAGUCUAAAAGUGCCUUGUUGACAGGGAUGCA